CAAUAGCGUAUAUUAAAGCUGUUGCGGUUAAAAAGCUCGUAGUUGGAUUUCUGUCAAGGACAACUGGUCCGCCCCUCGGGUGAGCACAUAGUUUGGUCUUGGCAUCUUGUUGGAAACUGUUGCUGCACUUGGUUGUGUGGCGCAGUGUCCAGCACUUUCACUUUGAGGAAAUUGGAGUGUUUCAAGCAGGCACAUGCCUUUGGACACAGUAGCAUGGAAUAAUUAGAUUGGGCUUUUGCUCCAACUUGUCGGUUUCUGGAGCUGAGGUGAGAAUUAAUGGGGAUUGUUGGGGGCAUCCGAAUUUAGCCGUCAGAGGUGAAAUUCUUGGAUCUGCUAAAGACGGACAACUGCGAAAGCGUUUGCCCAGGAUGUUUUCAUUGAC
rnacentral:rRNA from 1 species